CACGCAGGCGGUUUGGUAAGUCAGAUGUGAAAGCCCACGGCUCAACCGUGGAAGUGCAUUUGAAACUGCUAGACUUGAGUAUCAGAGGGGAAAGUGGAAUUCCCGGUGUAGAGGUGAAAUUCGUAGAUAUCGGGAGGAAUACCGGUGGCGAAGGCGACUUUCUGGCUGAAUACUGACGCUGAGGUGCGAAAGCGUGGGGAGCAAACA
rnacentral:rRNA from 1 species